UUCCCCUUUUUUUUCCUUUCCCCUUUUUCCUUUCCUCCCCUUUCCUUUCCCCCCACCCCCCUUUUCUCUUUUUCCUUUCCUUCCCUACAAUAAUCCCAAAUCACCUCCUCCAAGCCCAGCCUUUGCUCCAGCUUCCAGGAGACUCCAGAACGGCAACUUUAUAGCCCAAAACUCCAUAAAAACAGAGCCGGAAUUACCUCGUUCUCCUGAGGAAACAAUUCCAGGUUUUAUCUCAGCAGAAAAGGAACGGGGAGCAGGAUUUUGGGGCUGCGAUAAGGAGCUGGAGACUUUCCCAGCUUUCCUCUCAAGAACAGGACCGGGGUAAAGUUUAAGGAAUGGGAAGGACCCUGGCGUGGCCGCUUCCCACUCCCGGCUCCCCGGCACGGCUCUAAUCCCAGGACCCACAGGCGGCCGCUGAGCGCGGGAUCCGAGCGGAAUGUGGAAAAUCGAGCUGGCAGCAGCAGCAGGAGGAGGAGGAGGCACUGCCAGGGGUCCCUGGAAUUCGAGCGUCCUGCUGGCUCCUCCCUGCGAUGAGGAGGAUGUGGAAUUGCUGGAGCGAAUCCAGAGGAGGCCACGGGGGUGCUCUGGGAGCUGGAGCUGCUCUGGAGCCAGCCUGGGAGAGCUGGGAAUGUUCCCCUGGAGAGGAGAAGGCUCCAGGGAGAGCUCAGAGCUCCUGCAGGGUCUGAAGGGGCUCCGGGAGAGCUGGAGAGGGACUGGGGACAAGGGAUGGAGGGACAGGAGCCAGGGAAUGGCUUGGGAAAGAGGAGACUGGGGAGGGAUUCCUGGCUGGGAGGCGCUGGGAUGGAAUUCCUGGAAGUGUCCAAGGCCAGCUUGGAGCAGCUGGGAUAGUGGGAGGUGUCCCUGCCCAUGGAAUGAGAUGGGUUCUAAGAUCCUUUCCAACCCAAACCAUUCCACGGUUCUAUGGUGAAGCCCUGGAAUUCCCAGAGGUCCCCUGGGAUAUUCCCACGCAGGGACACACCAGAUCCCUGUAUUACCCCCUUUCCCACAUUUCCCAGCCCUUCUCCAGCACUUCCCACCUUUCCCUGGGGGUGUUUAUUCCUUAUCCCCUCCCUGCUGGAUUGAGCUGCUGCCGAGACAUUCCCGGGAAAAGGCCUGAAGGAUCAGCAGCUGGGAAUUGCUUUAUUCCAUGGCAAUCCUUGCCCGUGGAGCUGCUGCAGCUCCAGGUGUCUGCCCUGCAGCAGUGCUGGGAUUCAUCCUGUUUUCCCUCCUCUGGAAAAAAA